UAACGCCAAAACACCAUCUUGCCUUCCCGUCUCCUAAACCCUUGCCGUCGCCCCCCUGACCCUCUACGGGUUUCGCCCAAAACCAACGAAACCCUUGCUGACAUCCCCCUCCUCCCUCUACCGGUUUCCCAAAACCAACGCGAUACAAGUUCCGAUUAGAGCUGCAACUACGGAAUUGUGGCAUACAAAGACCGCCAAAACUCCCAUCUUUCUCCCCCUUCCGGUUCAAUCCUACCAGGAAUCACUGAGGAAGUUUGUCGGGUUUUAGAGUCAAAUCCGCUACUAGACGGUACCGCCUGAUAACAUGGCGAAAGUGAAGAUCCACGAUAAAAAAGUGAAGUUUGCAAUCAUGAAAGUUAA